rnacentral:lncRNA from 1 species
AUGAUGAUGAAGCUGAUGGAGUCGUGCAUCGGAAGAAAACAGGAAGCAAGAUGUGAAUUCCGCAGCUUCUAUGCUCGAUCCUAUCCAGGAUGGGGCUUGCUGUUGCUUGACCAGAGGAGCAAAACAUUGUGUGUGCAGAGGAAAGAGGGAACAGAAGAGCAAACAGUUUGUAUGAAAGGGUGCCUUCUUCCACCCCAAGGUGAUGGGCUAUGGAUCAGGACAACUAGCAUGUCUGGACGGACUUGUUCUGCUCAUCUCAUCUUUGAGAUCAUUUCAUCAUGAACUGAUGAACUGCUUGAAAGAACCUGUGAUGCCUGGUAAAACAGCUCUCUGAGAAAACUUUGUUUAGGCCUCAAGCUCCAAAUACUUCCCUUUGGCUCAGAGGAGGGGAAGGCUUAGAGGAGAAAGGAGAGUUGCUUUCCGCCUGCCAAAUUCUGCUCACCUUCCAGCAGCCGCAUUCAUGCAGCCACUGAGAAGAGCAAAAGAUUACUCUAAAUGAGUAAAGUAGCCAAAUCUGUCCUUAGUAAGGAUACUAUUAUGAAAACAAUAAUUUUGUUGUUUAGGAAUUAAUCUCCUAUUCGUGCACUUGGAGUCAGCCUUGUAUGUGGCAGAAUUAUUGUCUCAGCAGCAAAAUACAGCAUUGUGUGAAAAGUGGGUGCCUGAUAAACUCUGAAGCAACCACCUCAUUCUGAAGAAAAUGUCACAUUUAUUACUGGUGUACAAAGAGGUGCAUAAAAUUCAGUGUGUUAAAGGACAUCGCAGUGUAAUCUCAUCCAUUGAUGUCUUGUUACCAUCCGGCAUAAGUAGGGGCUCUCUAGUUUUCGAAGAUAAGGAAAAGAAAAGCCAAUCUAACGAGGCAAUGUCUUGCCAAGAGGCCACCAUUUUACAGAAUAGGCAUGGUUAUGUUUCCUAGAAAUCCUUCAGACCCAAAUUGCGUAGGUAUCCUGUUGGUGGGUGGCACUGAGCUGGCGGGAGGGCACGCGUGCUGCCUUUAUCAUCGUCACUUAUUCUCAUUUCACUGACUUCACAGGGGAGUCAGAGGCACACCACAGUGACCAUGUGUUUGUUCCUCUCUCUCUUUUGGCACAAAGGACAGGGAAAAGACGGGAUUUGUCUGUGCAAAUCUUCCUCUCCGCCAGCACAGCCACUUUACAGACUCAGUGCCCACAUGGGGGAUAGAUCUGACGGAGGGGAAGGGAAAAGCAGCAUCCCUGGAGCUGCAGAUAACCAGGGGCCACCACUUUCUCUGUCAGCCUGUGCUUACUGACAGGUGUUGUUUCAAUGAUGAAAGUCAACAGCAUUUUCUCUUUCCUCUUCCCCAGCUAACAAGACUCAAAGCAUGGGAAGGAAUAAAAAGCAGUAAUGAGCCCUGAUAUAAUUUCA